rfam:Danio rerio chromosome 21, GRCz11 reference primary assembly.
UGUGUUCACAGGUGUAAGUCGCUUUGGAUAAAAGUGUUUGCUAAAUGCAUAAAU